UACAGAGGUCUCAAGCGUUGUUCGGAUUCAUUGGGCGUAAAGGGUGCGUAGGUGGCAUGGUAAGUCGGAUGUGAAAUCCCGGGGCUCAACCCCGGAACUGCAUUCGAUACUGCUGCGCUAGAGUACUGGAGAGGAGAUUGGAAUUUACGGUGUAGCAGUGAAAUGCGUAGAUAUCUGGAGGAACACCGGUGGCGAAGGCGGCAUCCUGGACCAUUACUGACGCUGAGGAGCGAAAGCCAGGGGAGCAAACGGG
rnacentral:rRNA from 1 species